rnacentral:rRNA from 1 species
UACGGAGGGGGCUAGCGUUGUUCGGAAUUACUGGGCGUAAAGCGCACGUAGGCGGCUUUGUAAGUUAGAGGUGAAAGCCCGGGGCUCAACUCCGGAAUUGCCUUUAAGACUGCAUCGCUAGAACGUCGGAGAGGUAAGUGGAAUUCCGAGUGUAGAGGUGAAAUUCGUAGAUAUUGGGAAGAACACCGGUGGCGAAGGCGGCUAUCUGGACCGUAACUGACGCUGAGGCGCGAAAGCGUGGGGAGCAAACAGGG